CUGGCUAAUGCCGAAUACGACCACCGAAGGCAUCUUCUGGUGGUGGAAAGCUCCGGCGGAGAGGGAUGGGCUCGCGGCCUAUCAGCUAGUUGGUGAGGUAAUGGCUCACCAAGGCAACGACGGGUAGCCGGCCUGAGAGGGUGACCGGCCACACUGGGACUGAGACACGGCCCAGACUCCUACGGGAGGCAGCAGUGGGGAAUAUUGGACAAUGGGCGAAAGCCUGAUCCAGCAACGCCGCGUGAGGGAUGACGGCCUUCGGGUUGUAAACCUCUUUCAGUAGGGACGAAGCGAAAGUGACGGUACCUACAGAAGAAGGACCGGCCAACUACGUGCCAGCAGCCGCGGUAAUACGUAGGGUCCGAGCGUUGUCCGGAAUUAUUGGGCGUAAAGGGCUCGUAGGCGGUUUGUCGCGUCGGGAGUGAAAACUCAGGGCUCAACCCUGAGCGUGCUUCCGAUACGGGCAAACUAGAGGUAUGCAGGGGAGAAUGGAAUUCCUGGUGUAGCGGUGGAAUGCGCAGAUAUCAGGAGGAACACCGGUGGCGAAGGCGGUUCUCUGGGCAUUACCUGACGCUGAGGAGCGAAAGCAUGGGGAGCGAACAGGAUUAGAUACCCUGGUAGUCCAUGCCGUAAACGUUGGGCG
rnacentral:rRNA from 1 species